GCCCUCAGGAGGGGGAUAACGGUUGGAAACGACCGCUAAUACCCCAUACGCCGAUAGGUGAAAUGAAUUUCGCCUGAGGAUGAGCCCGCGUCUGAUUAGCUAGUUGGUAAGGUAAAGGCUUACCAAGGCUUCGAUCAGUAGCUGGUCUGAGAGGAUGAUCAGCCACACUGGGACUGAGACACGGCCCAGACUCCUACGGGAGGCAGCAGUGGGGAAUUUUCCGCAAUGGGCGAAAGCCUGACGGAGCAACGCCGCGUGAGGGACGAAGGCCUCUGGGCUGUAAACCUCUUUUCUCAAGGAAGAAGAUAUGACGGUACUUGAGGAAUAAGCCACGGCUAAUUCCGUGCCAGCAGCCGCGGUAAUACGGGAGUGGCAAGCGUUAUCCGGAAUUAUUGGGCGUAAAGCGUCCGCAGGCGGCCUUUCAAGUCUGCUGUUAAAGCGUGGAGCUUAACUCCAUCAUGGCAGUGGAAACUGAUAGGCUUGAGUAUGGUAGGGGCAGAGGGAAUUCCCGGUGU
rnacentral:rRNA from 1 species